UAGGGAAUCUUCCGCAAUGGACGCAAGUCUGACGGAGCAACGCCGCGUGAGUGAAGAAGGAUUUCGGUUCGUAAAACUCUGUUGUUAGAGAAGAACAGCGCAUAGAGUAACUGUUAUGCGUGUGACGGUAUCUAACCAGAAAGCCACGGCUAACUACGUGCCAGCAGCCGCGGUAAUACGUAGGCGGCAAGCGUUGUCCGGAUUUAUUGGGCGUAAAGCGAGCGCAGGCGGUCAAUUAAGUCUGAUGUGAAAGCCCCCGGCUCAACCGGGGAGGGUCAUUGGAAACUGGUUGACUUGAGUGCAGAAGAGGAGAGUGGAAUUCCAUGUGUAGCGGUGAAAUGCGUAGAUAUAUGGAGGAACACCAGUGGCGAAGGCGACUCUCUGGUCUGUAACUGACGCUGAGGCUCGAAAGCGUGGGUAGCAAACAGG
rnacentral:rRNA from 1 species